rnacentral:rRNA from 1 species
GGGCCCGCACAAGCAGCGGAGCAUGUGGUUUAAUUCGAAGCAACGCGAAGAACCUUACCUAGACUUGACAUCUCCUGAAUUACCCGUAACUGGGGAAGUUACCUCUUUGAGGUGACAGGAAGACAGGUGGUGCAUGGUUGUCGUCAGCUCGUGUCGUGAGAUGUUGGGUUAAGUCCCGCAACGAGCGCAACCCUUAUUGUUAGUUGCUACCAUUUAGUUGAGCACUCUAGCAAGACUGCCUGGGUUAACCAGGAGGAAGGUGGGGAUGACGUCAAAUCAUCAUGCCCCUUAUGUCUAGGGCUACACACGUGCUACAAUGGCGAGUACAACGAGACGCAAGACCGUGAGGUGGAGCAAAUCUAUAAAACUCGUCCCAGUUCGGAUUGUAGGCUGAAACUCGCCUACAUGAAGUUGGAGUUGCUAGUAAUCGCGAAUCAGCAUGUCGCGGUGAAUACGUUCCCGGGCCUU